GCCGUCGAAGGUGGGACAAAUGAUUGGGGUGAAGUCGUAACAAGGUAGCCGUAUCGGAAGGUGCGGCUGGAUCACCUCCUUUCUAAGGAUAUAUUCGGAACAUCUUCUUCNNNNNNNNUACGGAGUUACAAAGGACGACAUUAGACGAAUCAUCUGGAAAGAUGAAUCAAAGAAGGUAAUAAUCCUGUAGUCGAAAAUGUUGUCUCUCUUGAGUGGAUCCUGAGUACGACGGAGCACGUGAAAUUCCGUCGGAAUCUGGGAGGACCAUCUCCUAAGGCUAAAUACUCUCUAGUGACCGAUAGUGAACCAGUACCGUGAGGGAAAGGUGAAAAGCACCCCGGAAGGGGAGUGAAAUAGAACCUGAAACCGUGUGCUUACAAGUAGUCAGAGCCCGUUAAUGGGUGAUGGCGUGCCUUUUGUAGAAUGAACCGGCGAGUUACGAUUUGAUGCAAGGUUAAGCAGUAAAUGUGGAGCCGUAGCGAAAGCGAGUCUGAAUAGGGCGUUUAGUAUUUGGUCGUAGACCCGAAACCAGGUGAUCUACCCUUGGUCAGGUUGAAGUUCAGGUAACACUGAAUGGAGGACCGAACCGACUUACGUUGAAAAGUGAGCGGAUGAACUGAGGGUAGCGGAGAAAUUCCAAUCGAACCUGGAGAUAGCUGGUUCUCUCCGAAAUAGCUUUAGGGCUAGCCUCAAGUGAUGAUUAUUGGAGGUAGAGCACUGUUUGGACGAGGGGCCCCUCUCGGGUUACCGAAUUCAGACAAACUCCGAAUGCCAAUUAAUUUAACUUGGGAGUCAGAACAUGGGUGAUAAGGUCCGUGUUCGAAAGGGAAACAGCCCAGACCACCAGCUAAGGUCCCAAAAUAUAUGUUAAGUGGAAAAGGAUGUGGCGUUGCCCAGACAACUAGGAUGUUGGCUUAGAAGCAGCCAUCAUUUAAAGAGUGCGUAAUAGCUCACUAGUCGAGUGACACUGCGCCGAAAAUGUACCGGGGCUAAACAUAUUACCGAAGCUGUGGAUUGUCCUUUGGACAAUGGUAGGAGAGCGUUCUAAGGGCGUUGAAGCAUGAUCGUAAGGACAUGUGGAGCGCUUAGAAGUGAGAAUGCCGGUGUGAGUAGCGAAAGACGGGUGAGAAUCCCGUCCACCGAUUGACUAAGGUUUCCAGAGGAAGGCUCGUCCGCUCUGGGUUAGUCGGGUCCUAAGCUGAGGCCGACAGGCGUAGGCGAUGGAUAACAGGUUGAUAUUCCUGUACCACCUAUAAUCGUUUUAAUCGAUGGGGGGACGCAGUAGGAUAGGCGAAGCGUGCGAUUGGAUUGCACGUCUAAGCAGUAAGGCUGAGUAUUAGGCAAAUCCGGUACUCGUUAAGGCUGAGCUGUGAUGGGGAGAAGACAUUGGAGUCUUCGAGUCGUUGAUUUCACACUGCCGAGAAAAGCCUCUAGAUAGAAAAUAGGUGCCCGUACCGCAAACCGACACAGGUAGUCAAGAUGAGAAUUCUAAGGUGAGCGAGCGAACUCUCGUUAAGGAACUCGGCAAAAUGACCCCGUAACUUCGGGAGAAGGGGUGCUCUUUAGGGUUAACGCCCAGAAGAGCCGCAGUGAAUAGGCCCAAGCGACUGUUUAUCAAAAACACAGGUCUCUGCUAAACCGUAAGGUGAUGUAUAGGGGCUGACGCCUGCCCGGUGCUGGAAGGUUAAGAGGAGUGGUUAGCUUCUGCGAAGCUACGAAUCGAAGCCCCAGUAAACGGCGGCCGUAACUAUAACGGUCCUAAGGUAGCGAAAUUCCUUGUCGGGUAAGUUCCGACCCGCACGAAAGGCGUAACGAUUUGGGCACUGUCUCAACGAGAGACUCGGUGAAAUCAUAGUACCUGUGAAGAUGCAGGUUACCCGCGACAGGACGGAAAGACCCCGUGGAGCUUUACUGUAGCCUGAUAUUGAAAUUCGGCACAGCUUGUACAGGAUAGGUAGGAGCCUUUGAAACGUGAGCGCUAGCUUACGUGGAGGCGCUGGUGGGAUACUACCCUAGCUGUGUUGGCUUUCUAACCCGCACCACUUAUCGUGGUGGGAGACAGUGUCAGGCGGGCAGUUUGACUGGGGCGGUCGCCUCCUAAAAGGUAACGGAGGCGCUCAAAGGUUCCCUCAGAAUGGUUGGAAAUCAUUCAUAGAGUGUAAAGGCAUAAGGGAGCUUGACUGCGAGACCUACAAGUCGAGCAGGGUCGAAAGACGGACUUAGUGAUCCGGUGGUUCCGCAUGGAAGGGCCAUCGCUCAACGGAUAAAAGCUACCCCGGGGAUAACAGGCUUAUCUCCCCCAAGAGUUCACAUCGACGGGGAGGUUUGGCACCUCGAUGUCGGCUCAUCGCAUCCUGGGGCUGUAGUCGGUCCCAAGGGUUGGGCUGUUCGCCCAUUAAAGCGGUACGCGAGCUGGGUUCAGAACGUCGUGAGACAGUUCGGUCCCUAUCCGUCGUGGGCGUAGGAAAUUUGAGAGGAGCUGUCCUUAGUACGAGAGGACCGGGAUGGACAUACCUCUGGUGUACCAGUUGUCGUGCCAACGGCAUAGCUGGGUAGCUAUGUGUGGACGGGAUAAGUGCUGAAAGCAUCUAAGCAUGAAGCCCCCCUCAAGAUGAGAUUUCCCAACUUCGGUUAU
rnacentral:rRNA from 1 species